rnacentral:piRNA from 2 species
UCUGUAGAAAUUGCCAGAAAUGUUGAUGCC